rnacentral:rRNA from 1 species
UACGUAGGUGACAAGCGUUGUCCGGAUUUACUGGGCGUAAAGAGCUCGCAGGCGGUCGAUCAAGUCGGGUGUGAAAGCCCCCGGCUCAACUGGGGAGGGUCAUUCGAUACUGAUCGACUCGAAGGCAGGAGAGGGUAGUGGAAUUCCCGGUGUAGUGGUGAAAUGCGUAGAUAUCGGGAGGAACACCAGUGGCGAAGGCGACUACCUGGCCUGUUCUUGACGCUGAGGCGCGAAAGCGAGGGGAGCAAACGGG